rnacentral:rRNA from 1 species
UACGGGGGGGGCAAGCGUUGUUCGGAAUUACUGGGCGUAAAGGGCUCGUAGGCGGCCAACUAAGUCGGAUGUGAAAUCCCCGGGCUCAACCUGGGAACUGCAUCCGAUACUGGAUGGCUUGAAUUCGGGAGAGGGAUGCAGAAUUCCAGGUGUAGCGGUGAAAUGCGUAGAUAUCUGGAGGAAUACCGGUGGCGAAGGCGGCAUCCUGGACCGACAUUGACGCUGAGGAGCGAAAGCUAGGGGAGCAAACGGG